UCCCUGGUGGUCUAGUGGUCAGGAUUUGGCGCUCUUAUAUCUGCGGCCUGGGUUCGAUUCCCAGUCAGGGAA
rfam:Tetraodon nigroviridis, WGS project CAAE01000000 data, contig: CNS0BTX2, chromosome: undetermined